rnacentral:lncRNA from 1 species
CCUUUCUGGAUAAUUCAGUCAAAAAAGGAAGAAGUGAGUGUGUUUAAAAGUACCUGAAUUGGCUGCUAUGCUUGAAUUCUUGAUGCUCAAACAGGAGUGCACAUCAGAGGAAACCCGAGGAGCUUUGUAGAUAAGAAUGUUAAAGACUUUCAGACCUCCUAUUCAGAAGCCACCAAAGGCUUGCUCUGCCUUAUGUCAGUCCACAGUUCAACAGCAACCCUUGCCCUGCACAAGGUCUAGGCUCUCCAGGCACUUCUUUCUUGUCGAUGAGCAUGAGAGCAUGAAUGCACUACUAAAACGCCCUAUUCUGAAGAACUCAAGGAGGAAAUCUGGAAUGAAACAACAAACCAGAAUGGAGAAUGCUAUGGAAGACAGAGAACAACCAACAGGCAUCUAUCCUUUAUAA